AUUUGAAUUCAUCACCUCUACUGAUUCCCAUUAAUAAAUGUUAAUGGAAUGGGCAAGGAAAUGAUCCGACCUUUUGAAGAUCCAUGGACUGCAAGCAAAUAUGACGAGUAGGGUGGCUCUACCCUUGAUAAUUUCAAAAGGCACAAGCAAUAAGGGGGUUCAUCUGCAUGACACUGGCCCCUGUGGACAGGGUCUUUAAAAUGAAUAUGUACAAAAGAAGUGAUAAUCCUGCUACAAUAAUGGAGGGAAACCAUCAACAGAAGACUGAUUUCUGAAACUUUCUGAAAUAUGGAAAAACGGAAAGCGGAAAGUAAAGUACAAUAUUUACUCAUGCAGCAAAGCAAGGGAAGCCAUAAUCUUGAAUAUAGGCAUCAACGGGGGAUAAGAAAACACCGACCCGUUUGUCAGAAGUCCAGUGAGGUGCUACAGGAGGAGUGGGUGAGAAGUUUCCGAAAACACUAGAUUUAAUUAAAGAUG
rnacentral:lncRNA from 1 species